AUCCCGUAAUGAGGAAAUCUACAAAGUAACUCCUGGAAUCUUUCCCAUGCCUUGUAUAGGGACUCAUCAUCCAUUUGUUAAAAAUAGUGAUCUCAUUUCGCAACU
rnacentral:snoRNA from 1 species